rfam:Dipodomys ordii contig_62245, whole genome shotgun sequence.
GGGAAUGUGGCUUAGUGGUAGAGUGCUUGCCUUGCAUGCAUGAAGUUCUGGAUUCAAUUCCUCAGUACCA